UGCAGAUCAAAUUUGAUGGAACAAUUUUUUUAAGUAAUCAAACAUUGAUUAUAUACUUUUCUUGCCUCUGUAAAAGGAAUACAAGAAAUAUUAAACACUGUCAAGUAUUAACUUGCAUUUUCCUUUGCAAACAAUGUUUUACUCCAAAAGCCAUCAGUAACAGUUGAAUAAGUAGCUGCCUUGUCAGCAGUGGCCUUCAGGCUCUGAAGCCUGUCUUAUUCAGCCUAACGCUCAUCCUUCACAUCCUACUGAUGCCUCUGUUUUCCACUUUGUGCCAAUUGAGGAUACAGAUGUAUCUGCCACAGCUCCCUGAGAAUGUGGUGAAGCUAUGUUACAGCUCUUGAAGGCAGCUGUCUUUUGGGUGAGCAUUUCUAGAAAGCUUUUAACUCAGACUAGAAGAAGAAUUUGGUUUUAUUGCCUUUCUGGAACAUACUGGCAGCUACAGAGAGGAUGGAGACUUUCCCUUCACAGGGGCCAAUGAGUGCAAGUUGCACUGGGAGAGUAUUGAAGUCAGGUAAGGAUUUUAUUUUUAUUUACCAUGAGAAAAAUCAGUCACAGGGAAAAACCUCCCAUGGACAUGGUAGAGUCCCAUCAUUGAAGGUUUUCAAGUUGUAAUUGGACAGGAUGCUAGAUGCAUAAUCUGUUUCAUGUCCCAUUAAGUUGAACCAGAUGAUAUUUUGAGGCCCCUUCAAACCUUGACUGUUCUGUGCUUCUGUGUAUUCAGCUUUGCAGCCAUGGAAGGACAGGGACUUUUAGUCCUGGCACAAACCAGGUUGUUAAGUUACACACAGUCUAGUAAGAAGAAAAGGCAAAUGCACAAGCCCACCAUGCACGUCUUUAUCUCAAAGUCUGGAUUUGAUCUUCCUUUUGCAUUAAUAUUCCAUAGGUCAGUGUUUUUACUUGUGCAAGUGAUUAAAUUUCUCUGUGGAACUUGGAAAGGCUUGGAGUGUCAGCUUGUGCCAUAUGCUUUUUCACUACUGCACUGCUUAGUUGGUUUUCAGUGAUGCAACAGUGAUUCUUUGGACUUUUGAUGUGAUUUCUAGUCCUUGAGCAAUUAAUUGUUCUGUACCAUUUGUCUGCCAACAUACUUUUGACCGGAGAAAUACAAAAGCAAGCGCUUGUCAGCUUCUGUGCUUCCUCCUUGUGUGCUUGAGGACUGUCUGUACUUCCAUAGUAACCACACUGAGCAUGACCUCAAAGAUCCCAUGAAUUGCAGUCUACUAAAAUAGCUUCCCAGGCUCUAAGCAUGGCCUGUGUUUCUUGUUGGUACAUGUGGCUGCAAUAAUCCCAAGCACUGCUCUUUCCAGCUGAUUCCUGUCACAAACAUCCUUAGAUUUUUCUCCCAGAUAACUGGUAAAGAAUAUCUCUGUGGGACUUGCAAAUACCACCAGGAUUUACCGGUUAGUCGUACUUUAAUCAGUUGCUCCUGUAUUCUGCAGGAGUACAUCUUCUCUAAGGCUGCUGUAUGUUAGGGUGGGUAGUGUUCAAACCAAAGGUACACGCAGCUCAGUGACAAAAAAAUGGAUGCAUGGGCAGGAGUGUAAGGUGAGUGUAUAAAAUACUUCUUCCUUGCACUAUCCUGGCUUGUACCUCUUUCCAGCUCGUGGAGAGAUG
rnacentral:lncRNA from 12 species